UUUAAUUUUUCCUUGCAAACGUUAGUCAUGAUUGAUUUAACUCCAUCCAUAACUGCAACGCUGUUAAAUAUUCGACAACGAUGUGCCAUACGCCACGUGCCCGCAACACGCUCCUGCAAUUAGGCCUAGGAAUCGCUAUUGUGCCGGAGCUUGACCCUCUCAAAUAGAAUCUCGACAAUGGGAAUUCGAGCAAUUUGCCAAGAGGAACUGGCCCAAUUGUGCCGCGAUCAUGAAAUCGGACAAACUUUGCCAAUGAGAUUCUCCAAAUUGACGUUCAGUUCCAUUUCGCUUUGUUAAUGAAGUUAAACGAACGUCCGUUUUAUUCCGUUUCGAUGUUGAAUCCUUGUGGACGAUCGAUCAUGCUCGAUGCUUACGAAUUAAUCAGAGGAGAGUUGUUUAAUAUGCAGCAAGCAUUUAAUGAAGUAAACAAGGAGCCAUAAAUAAAAGCGAUGGAUGAACCUUGGUGAAGGAAUUUCGUGUAGCAAAUCAAAUUUGUGAAAUUUUUCUUUGGAAAGAAAGAACAUUCACGAAACAAGUAAGCAAUUUAUUCCGAUCUCCGUCCCUGGAGCAACAAGAAGCAGAGCAUGACAGCGCCACGAAGAAAGACUGGACACAGUUUGUUGGCAUCAGGUUAUAAAGAAUACGAGUCAUUACGAGAUUCGUCUUUUCCAGUGCAAAAUUCUUUGCGAGACGGUAUUCACCUUACUUUCUCGAAUGAUCAGAUAUACAUCUUUUAUCUAUUGUUCGACAAUCAUCAGGAAUAUCGAGAUCUCAAAACAAAAAUAGAUAGAAAAAUUGUUUAAUGUAAUUGACGAUACUGUUCUCCAUAAACAAAAGAUAUUAGAAACACGAUAUACAUGUGUUGAUUCUAUGACGAAAGAUUGUUUAGGAAUAGAAACUGCGUAUCCUCCAUAAAACAGUUUCACAUUUAAUCCGACCUGAAUAUUCGAGAAUUUCAAGAAGAAUUCAUGCUUCUUAGAACGAGAAGUAAGAGUAAACACAUCAAACAACAUUCUCUCUGAUUUAUUAUUAACAUAAUUUUCAAGUAAAUAAUAAAAGCGUGACUUUUAUGCAAAUAAAAUAUUUGAACAUUGCAUUAAAAAAAAUUCUCCAUACAAUUCCUAAAAUCGUUUAUGAUUUGAUAUAAAUUCAUUACGUAAUUAAUUACUUUCAUUCAUUACAUUACCAUAAUACGUGUCAUUAAAGAUUAAUUAAUAACUGAUUGUGAAACCAAUGAAAGACAUUAUUGAAUGGAACUCAACUCAUUCAGAUAAAUAUACAGCGAUAAGAGACAUAAAAAGAUUAAAGAAGUUUUAUAUUAUUGCAUUGUAAUAAAUAAUUAUAUAUAUAUAUAUAUAUCUUAUAUAUUCUAAUUAAUAUAGAUAUUCGAGUAAAUCUAAUCGAAUUAAUAAGAACUUAACGUGCCCCGAUAAUUUUGCAUGGAUCUGUUUCUACGACUCUAUAAUUAUUCGCUUCGAUUGUUCUAUUCGUGAUACGGAAAUUUUCUCUGUGUCACGGCAACGGAUCAACCAAAUUAAUGGAACAUAACUAAAAAUGCUUCUCCAAUUCAUCAUUUUCUCUUGAUUCUCUUUUUAAUUUGG
rnacentral:lncRNA from 1 species